rnacentral:rRNA from 1 species
AUGCUUCGGAGCUUGCCGCGCUCCUCCAGCCGCUCCAGCAGGUCCCGGGCGCCGGCGACCUCCAUGUCCGACAGCUUCUUCAGGUACCCGAUGGCGCCGUGCGAGACCAUCGGCUUCUUGCACCGCUUCGCCGGCGACAGCGUCGCCAGGCACGCGAUGGCGUACUUCUUCGCCGUGUUCGCCGGGCUGGGGUCCAGCAGCUGCACCAGGCUCGGCACGCUCCUCUCGUCCCGCCGCACCUCCCGCGCGUUGCCCGGGUGCCCCGCCGCCAGGCUCGCCACCGCCUGCGCCGCCACCUCGCGCGCGCCGGCCGACUUAGCCUCCAGCAUCCGGACAAGUAGUGGGAUGCACCCGUGCUCGCCCACCAUCCGCUUCAUGUCCUUGCUGCCGCUGGCCGCGAUCCUGCAGAUCGCCGCGGGACACGAUGGUGUCGGGGGAGAUGGCGUCCACCAUGUUCCCGAGCGCGCGCACCGCGGACUCCUGCGGCGACGGCGCGUCCAGGUAGAGGAGCAGGCUGCGCAGCCCGCCGUCGUGCGCGACGGCGCGCCGGAAGCUGUCGCCGCCCGACGUGAGGUUCUGCAAGCAGUCGGCGGCGUGCUCCUUGGAGCCCAGCACGGUGCCGUAGUCCAGCAGACUGACCAUGACGCGGACGAUCCCUUCGUCGGCCAGCGCUUGCCGCGCCUCGGGCGCCGCGGAGAGGUUCUUGAGCGCGCCGGCCGCCGCGGACUGGGACACGGAGUCCCCCGUCUGGCAGAUCUCGAUGAGCGGGCGCACGCCGCCGUGGCCGGCGAUGGCGCGCGCGACGUCGGGGGACGCGGAGAGGCGCUGCAGCGUGAGGACGGCCUUCUCGCGGCCGACGAGGCUGCUGCCGGACUCUGCCAGCCGGAUGAGCGGCGGCAGCGCGCCCUCCGACACGAGCAGCCCCUCGCAGGCGCCACCCCCCGACUCGGCGAGCCGGCAUAUCACCAUGGCGGCCUUCUCCCGCGCCUUGGGCGCCGGCGCCGUGAGCAGCUGCACCAGCGCGGACACGUUGGCGCGGCCGAGCAGCGACACCACGCUCUUCUCGUCCCGGUUGAGCGCGUCGAGCAGCCCGUCCACCGCGCGGCUCUUGGCCUCGGCGUGCCCGAUCUGCAGCCGCGCGAGCAGCUCCCGCACGUCCGCCUGCGCCGUCGCCGGGGCGGUGACGGCGGAGGCGUCGGAGUCGGACAGCACGCCGGUGCGGACGAGCAGCGCGCAGUCCCGGAGGUUGACGUCGAGCCGGGCGCCGAGCGCGUCGAUGGCGCUCUGCGUCUGCAGCUUCCCGUCCCUCGGCGGGCCCCGGCACCGCGAAGCAAGCUCCGCCGCAUCGGCGAGCGUGGCGGCCACGGAGUGCAGCAGCUCGCGGCAGAGCGCGUUCCGGGCGAAGCAGGGGUGGCUGGACAGGUCGGACAGGCGCGCGGGGAGCGUGCCCAGCUUGGCCGCGAUCGCCUUCCACCGGCCGGGGAACCCCUCCGCGGCCGUCGCCGCGCCGACCGCCGGCGGCACCAUCCCCCUGACGCGCGCCAGCAGCUCCUCCGCCGUCUCAACCCCGGGAGCAGCGGCCGCCGGGUCGCCCCGCACACUCAUGCCUGGUCGCCUGGAGAGUGGAGGCCCGUGAUCUGGAGUGGCCGAGGAGAACGGUCGUCGUCGCUAGCUGGCCUGACUGGCUCGUCAAGGCUGUGGUGA